UACGGGAAGGCAGCAGUGGGGAAUAUUGCACAAUGGGCGAAAGCCUGAUGCAGCUAUGCCGCGUGUAUGAAGAAGGCCUUAGGGUUGUAAAGUACUUUCAUCGGGGAGGAAAAACAAAACUAAUAAUUUUAUUUCUUGACGUUACCCGAAAAAGAAGCACCGGCUAACUCCGUGCCAGCAGCCGCGGUAAUACGGAGGGUGCUAGCGUUAAUCAGAAUUACUGGGCGUAAAGAGCACGUAGGUGGUUUUUUAAGUCAGAUGUGAAAUCCCUGGGCUUAACCUAGGAACUGCAUUUUGAAACUGAAAUACUAGAGUAUCGUAGAGGGAGGUAGAAUUCUAGGUGUAGCGGUGAAAUGCGUAGAUAUCUGGAGGAAUACCUGUGGCGAAAGCGGCCUCCUAAACGAAUACUGACACUGAGGUGCGAAAGCGUGGGGAGCAAACAGGAUUAGAUACC
rnacentral:rRNA from 1 species